rnacentral:rRNA from 1 species
UUGACCACGGAGAAUGACGGAUACUCCCCUGAACUAAAUCUUAUCAA